rnacentral:lncRNA from 1 species
AGAGAUGUGGGGUUUUGUAUACGCUGUGACACUCUUCCUCAAAGGUUGGUUGGUGGCUUUCUCACAGUUUUCAUCCCCCAUCUUAGAACUAUUUGCAAAGCUGAGCUAUUAAACUUCACAGCACUAAAGGAGGAGAACUUGCCAGCCAGGGUAGCAGAGUAGAGAAGCUUAGAGAAGCACCCCUUGGCUGGUGUUCAUCUACAUCAGUACCAGGACAGGCAUGAGCUAUGCAGUCAUCGUGUUUCAUCACUUCUGAAUUUUCACAUUUUCAUCUGAAUCACUUGAUGGCACAAAGACAUUAAAUUGAAAGGUAUUAGUGAUUUUGAAAUAGAAGAGUCUUUCAGCAAUGGUGGGGAUGAACAGGAGCCCUGACUGUUGAAUUCUCUUGAGAAAACACCUUGAAAUAUCCAUCAUCUGGAGUUAGCUGACAAAAUACAUCCUCUGAAAACUGAAGGAAACCUCUUCUUAGCUUCUACUGGAGUUUUUUGAAGGCAGAAAAUUAAGAAGGAAAAAAAAACUGACUGAUUCUUCUCCUCAAAAUAAGAAGGAAGGAAAGUACAUUGGAUUAAAGGGAUUUACUUUACUUCUGGUCUUCUUCACUAAAUAUAUCAUCCCUUACAUUUUCUGCAAUUAGCCAGCUCAGUUUCCCCAAAUAAAUGCGAUGUUAAGAACA